AUUGAACGCUGGCGGCAGGCCUAACACAUGCAAGUCGAGCGAGCGGCGGACGGGUGAGUAAUGCCUGGGAAUUGCCCAGUCGAGGGGGAUAACAGUUGGAAACGACUGCUAAUACCGCAUACGAUUGGAUUGCCCAGGUGGGGUUGGCUAGUUGGUGAGGUAAUGGCUCACCAAGGCGACGAGCCCUAGCUGGUCUGAGGGGAUGGUGAGCCACACGGGAACUGAGACCCGUUCCAGACUCCUACGGGAGGCAGGAGGGGGGAAUAUUUCAUAAUGGGGGUAACACUGAUGCGGCCAUGCCGCGGGUGGGAAGGAGGCCUGCGGGGUGUAAAGCACUUUCAGCGAGGAGGCGUUACUCGCAGAAGAAGCACCGGCUAACUCCGGGCCAGCAGCCGCGGUAAUUC
rnacentral:rRNA from 1 species